AUUGAACGCUGGCGGAAUGCUUUACACAUGCAAGUCGAACGGCAGCACGGACUUCGGUCUGGUGGCGAGUGGCGCACGGGUGAGUAAUGUAUCGGAACGUGCCCAGUCGUGGGGGAUAACGUAGUGAAAAUUACGCUAAUACCGCAUACGAUCUAUGGAUGAAAGCGGGGGAUCGAAAGACCUAGCGCGACUGGAGCGGCCGAUAUCAGAUUAGGUAGUUGGUGGGGUAAAGGCCCACCAAGCCAACGAUCUGUAGCUGGUCUGAGAGGACGACCAGCCACACUGGAACUGAGACACGGUCCAGACUCCUACGGGAGGCAGCAGUGGGGAAUUUUGGACAAUGGGCGAAAGCCUGAUCCAGCCAUUCCGCGUGCAGGAUGAAGGCCCUCGGGUUGUAAACUGCUUUUGUACAGAACGAAAAGGUUUCUACUAAUACUAGGAGCUCAUGACGGUACUGUAAGAAUAAGCACCGGCUAACUACGUGCCAGCCGCCGCCGUAA
rnacentral:rRNA from 1 species